GACAGAGGGUGCAAGCGUUGUUCGGAAUUACUGGGCGUAAAGCGCGUGUAGGCUGCUUCGCAAGUCGGAUGUGAAAGCCCUGGGCUCAACCCAGGAAGUGCAUUCGAAACUGCAGAGCUGGAGUCCUGGAGAGGAAGGCGGAAUUCUCGGUGUAGAGGUGAAAUUCGUAGAUAUCGAGAGGAACACCGGUGGCGAAGGCGGCCUUCUGGACAGUGACUGACGCUGAGACGCGAAAGCGUGGGGAGCAAACAGG
rnacentral:rRNA from 1 species